UAGGCAUAGCUGAGCCAGGAGGUGGAAAAAAAAUUGGGAUUUGCAUAAGAGAUGACACAAUGAAUGGGAAAGAGGCAUUCUAAUUUGAUGUUAAGUGUUCAGUAUGGAGUCCUUAUCAGGCAAUGAGAACGGUCCUGAGCUCGUACCUCUUCAUAGAACAUGAUUUGAUGCCUUUAUAGACAAGGAGUAGUCUUAACCCUGUUCCAGAAGAACCCAGAAGCUACAGCACUUGGGCCAAGGAGUGUUCUUUCUCAUGACAGACAAAGAAGAGCAGUAAUAACAUCUGUGUAUGGUAGGAGACUGUACUCUAUGCAGAGAGUAUUCCCAUGCGAAGUAGUCCUGCUAUUAUUUAAGUAUGUGGAAAAUACUGAAUACCUUGUGUUAUGAUCUGAAGGAUGACACAGGAAUUGCUGGAAGCUGACAAUAGUGACUACAAGUAUGGGUUUCGUUUUCUUUUGCUUUUCUUCCCCACAAGAACGUCCAUCCUCCUUAUCCAUGCAAACUGUGUGCAGCAAGAAUUUAAGCUCUGUAAACCACAGCUUUUUCUUUGGCUUUGUAUUACACAACUUGCAUCUUCAGAGUUUUUCAGGUGUGAAAGAAAGUUAAACAUUGAACUGAUGCUAUUAUCCUGGUGUUACAUGUAAGCCAUCACCCUGGUUGUAAGAAGCAACCUACACUGUCUUGAAAUAGAACUAACAUUUUCAACUUACAGAAGUUAAAUCAAGGAGAUUUUAUGUAUUCUUAAGAUGCUGACUGUGAAUAUAAAGAGGCAGCAAGGGCUGGAUGUGAGAAAGGGGCUAGGGAGCUAGGUGCUAUAUGUGAUAGCAUGGGAAGGGGCACCUUAUGAAAGAAGGGAGGUCUGGGGAGCAGCUGGGGCCAGAUCCUGCCUAGCAGUGUGGGAUAUUGGCUUGUGUGUCAACCAUUGGCCAGCUUGUAUAUUGCAAGUGUUAUGCACAUGCACAUAGAAUUUAGCUGUUUCUGAAGGAGGUUUGAAUCAAACUCUUUAUUGCAAAUGUCUGAAUUCCAUUACAACACUUUCUUUAUCUCUGUAGUGUCAAACCAGAUUUUUAAAGAGUGGGGGAGUCAAUUGCAAGAAAAUAUUUUGACUGCAUUGCUCUACCCUGAAGUGCAUUGAUUCUAGAGCAACUUCUAUGACCAGCUUCUCUGUCAAGUCAUAUUUCAUUUGCACAUGAGUGAAUCAGAAAUACUGUGCUUAAAAGUAGUCUGUAUCUUUCACAAGGAGACCUGUUAUGUAUAGUGCUAUUGAAAACCAUCUGAGACAGUGUGAAGAAAAAAUGUCCCCUUGAUUUUAAACAAAACAAUUUUAUUCCCCUAGAAUUUGUUUUCCCUGAACUUAAAUCAUAUAUAUUAAGCAUUUAUCAGAAUUUCUGGCUCUGAAUCCUUUGACUCAGCACUAAUGAUUAAAGGUAAGUGGUCAGGCAGUUAAGACUCAAUGGUGGUGCCUUAUAACUACUGCUUUUCUAUUCCUGUUUUAUUCCUGUUCUAUAACCAUGUAUAGAAGUAUGCUACUAGGUUGUGACCUACAUGCUUCAAAGAAAGAUUAGCAAAACUAUAAGGUUAACAGUAUCUGUCAGAAUACUUAACUGUAGCUAGAAGGAAGAUUGUGAUAAUUUUUAAUUUUGCCAGUAAGGUCAUGCUGUACUUGAAAUUCUGGAAUUUCCCUUCAUGUUUUGAUGUGUCAUAUAGAACAGAACAAUCAAGUGCUACCUACUUGUGUCAGAUAAAUAUUUUUUAAACUGUCUACCACACUGGUCAUGUUUUAUUGGAAUAUCUUGUAUGAAAAUAGUUUACUAAGUGCCUUCCAUACCUCUUAGUGGAAAAUAUUUAGUUUUGACAGUGAUCUUUUUGGGGAGAGAUUCAAUGCAUGGUAGUUCUUUCAGCAUUAUUAUAUCACUAGUUCUUCAGCAUUCAUAAUCUAAAGUAAGUUCCAACAAACUUCUAAACUUAAUUUUCCAACCAUGAGAAAUCAUGAUGAUCUUUAAUAUCUGUAAAUUAUAUACUUAGCGAUCAUAUUGGAUGUAUUGAAAUAUACUUUAAAUUAUUAAAUACUUCUACUGGUUUCAUAAAGAACAAGAGGAAAAAGAUGUUACAGAGGUGGGAGGUAUUUCAUAGCCAGCCUUAGAACCACUUUAAAUAUGUGGGUGAGUAAUGAAGGCAGAACAUGUUUGUCUCUUGAUAUUACUCCUCACCUUGACAAGCUCUGUACAGAUAGAAAACCUAUUUAGUGAAAAGGAGUUGCUGUGAUUACAGAAUGAAAAUAAAGCUUUCAGCUCUGUCAUUUAACAACUGGCAGAUUAU
rnacentral:lncRNA from 7 species